rnacentral:rRNA from 1 species
UACGUAGGUGACAAGCGUUGUCCGGAUUUACUGGGCGUAAAGAGCGCGCAGGCGGUCGUUCAAGUCGAGUGUGAAAGCCCCCGGCUCAACUGGGGAGGGUCAUUCGAUACUGAUCGACUCGAAGGCAGGAGAGGGAAGCGGAAUUCCCGGUGUAGUGGUGAAAUGCGUAGAUAUCGGGAGGAACACCAGUGGCGAAGGCGGCUUCCUGGCCUGUUCUUGACGCUGAGGCGCGAAAGCUAGGG